rnacentral:rRNA from 1 species
GACGAACGCUGGCGGCGUGCUUAACACAUGCAAGUCGAACGGUGAAGGGACCAGCUUGCUGGUUCUGGAUGAGUGGCGAACGGGUGAGUAACACGUGAGUAACCUGCCCCCUUCUUCUGGAUAACCGCAUGAAAGUGUGGCUAAUACGGGAUGUUCUGGGUCUGUCGCAUGGCGGGCCCGGGAAAGAUAUUGCUUCGGUGGGGGAUGGGCUCGCGGCCUAUCAGCUUGUUGGUGGGGUGAUGGCCUACCAAGGCGGUGACGGGUAGCCGGCCUGAGAGGGUGGACGGUCACACUGGGACUGAGACACGGCCCAGACUCCUACGGGAGGCAGCAGUGGGGAAUAUUGCACAAUGGGCGCAAGCCUGAUGCAGCGACGCCGCGUGAGGGAUGGAGGCCUUCGGGUUGUAAACCUCUUUCGCCAGUGAAGCAGGCCUGCUCCUUGUGGGUGGGUUGACGGUAGCUGGAUAAGAAGCGCCGGCUAACUACGUG